rnacentral:rRNA from 1 species
AGCUCCAAUAGCGUAUAUUAAAGUUGUUGCAGUUGAAAAGCUCGUAGUCGGAUUUCGGGUCGAGUGUGCCGGUCUGCCGUUGGGUAUGCACUGGUGUGUUCGGUCUUUUCGCGUGAGGCCUUGUGCGUCGUUAAUUCGUCGUGCUUGGUGCUCUGCACGUUUACUUUGAGAAAAUCAGAGUGUUCAAAGCAGGCCUUUGCCAUUGUAUGUGUUAGCAUGGGAUAAUGGAAUAGGACCUUGGUGCUAUUUUGUUGGUUUCGAACGCCGAGGUAAUGAUUAAUAGGGACAGUCAGGGGCACUCGUAUUCCGUAGAGAGAGGUGAAAUUCUUAGACCCACGGAAGACGCACUACUGCGAAAGCAUUUGCCAGGGAUGUUUUCACUGAUCAAGAACGAAAGUAC